rnacentral:lncRNA from 1 species
AUUUAAUUCUAAAUUUCAUUUUAAACCGUAGAAAACCAUGAAAAAACGUUGAUGACAUCACAGUCACAAGACUAAAUUAUGUCUAUGGGCUCAUAACAAAAUAACGUCAGCCAAUCAGAAAACGCAUUACAUCCAAAAUUAAAUUAUUUUAAAAUAGUGUUUUAACAUUUUUUUGUGUCUGAUUUGACUUAGUAUCAUUUGUAUACCUUAAUCACAUUUUUAUAAAUUCAUUGCAGAAAUUCAUAAUGUGCAGGACACAAAUUGACAAGUAUUAGAAAAGUUGUACCGUAUACAUGAAUGGGUAGGUCAGGUCAAUCUUCAUAUUUUCAUAAAGGAACAAGGCUUCAAAUCCUCACUAUUGUAGAAAAGUUGGGGGUUUAAGGGGGAGACCUUGGUUCAGGAAGAUAACUCUUUAAAUCAUUCAGGAGUAUGUCAAAGACAAAUUUCAUACAUGUAUUUUAAGCUUUUACCUGAAAUAGAUUGGAAAAAAUCUAUGUAAACUAGAGGCUUAGAAUAUAUUUAUGAAAAUGGUUGACACAAAAGUACUGAUGGAGUUAUUUCCCUUAACCUAGGUCGCUCUCCUUAAAAACAUGUGUUCAUUGGCAUACCCUCUAGACCAUUCAAACCAUGAGGUCAAUUGAUUAUUUUACCCUGUUUCAAUUCUAAUUAAACUAGCCAUUUACAAUAAAAUAAAAUUGUCUACAUUGUAAUAACAUUAAAAUUGAAAGACAGUAUUAAAAGCAAUUGUUUAAAUCUUAAAAUGAAGUCAAUAUAUACAUAACAAUUUGAUUCCACCGGGAAUAAGGAAUAUUGAGCAAAUGUGGUUACUGUAAAAGUACUUUUAUUCAAGUGGUUCAAAUUUUCAAUGUUUUUUUUUCAAGGAGUAAACCUAGUUGAUUCUGUAUCAUGAGAAAAACCAUGAAUUUCAUUACAAAAAUAUGUUUUUCACCUUUGUUUUAACAUGUGUCAAGUCUAAGACAAAAAUAAAAUGAUUUUAUUGAAAACUUGAACUUGAUUUUUAAUGUACUGCCACAGUAUAAUAUCUACAAUGAAACUACUACAGUAUUAUCUUGUACAAAUUAAAUAAAAUACAAAUAUACCAAGUCAAUGUUAUAGAAAAACAAAGUAAGAUUAUUGUGGAAAAAAAUACCUGUAGCUUUCAGCAAUUAACUUAAUGUUUAAUUAAAAAUAUAUGCCUUUAAAGAAUUGUACAAUAAAAUGAAUUACUUAUCAUAAUAAACUAAAAAAAAAAAAAAAGGAACACCAGCUUUAUAUAAAAAUUUCUUGUUUUGAUAAUAAUAUAUAGAAUGUUGGUUUUCAAACUCUUAUAGAUGUAGCUUACAGCUAAGGUCAUGAACAUGUUUAAUAAAAUAACAAAUUUUGGGAAAGAAGGGCAAGAGGUUCACCCAGUCAGCCAAUCUCAGGAAAAGUCAUUAACAACAUAAUGCUCUGUAUAAUUUCAAAAAUGUAUAACAGUUGUAAUGUUAGAGGGAUAUUGUGUGAUAGUGCACGAUCUAAAUAUUGGAAUCUGUCUUAAAAUUUUCAUUCUCUUUUCCAUUCAAAUAAAACAGUUUUUGUGUAAUUAUAUAUUUUUAGAUAUAUGUAGCAUUCUGCAGAGACUGGAAUCUCCUAGUGGCUUCUUCCAAUUACAAGCGAUAUUAUAUCACCAACAGAAGAAUAUAUGACCUGAAGUUAUACAAAUAAACAAUCCUAUUUUGUCCUAUUUAUAACCCGCCAGUGGCAUUAUGGCUGCGUUAAAUAUUGAAAUCAAAUUCUCUCUAAUUACGACACAAAAAAAGUUCCAAGCUAAAAUCAAUAUGUAAGAACUCGGUUCUUCUGACACAAGUAGGUGUAAAAAAUGAUUUUUACAAGAAAAAAACAUCUUCUUGAUCAUAAAAAUUCAAAUUAGUAAAUUUUAUGGUCAAAAUCUAAAAUAAAUUUGCCACGUUGUUCAUGGUAUGAAGGUAUUAGACAUUAAACUAACGGAAAAUUGGAUAAAAAUAGAAUCAAAGAAACUUAGCUGAUUUUCAUGUCUUCUAUUUUCUUCUUGACUAAAAGAUUUUAGUUAUAGCAAGUUAGUCAAGUUUUGAAGUAUUCUAGUCGGUGAAAAAUGUCAAUGGCUUACAGCAACUACAUUUUUUCUCAAAUGGGGACACUUUUUUAUGAAUAAAUCAUUAUAAACACUUAUGUACACCCAUUCAAAUUUAUUAAAAAGUGAUUUUAAUAGAAAAUGUUUUACUUUGUUUAUCUAUGUUUUUACCUAUUUCACAAAAAAGUAAAUUUAAGGGCAAAAUUUGUUCCCUGGAUAGAAUUAUAGGUUGUCAAUUUUGCAUUUCAGCUAAAUCUAAAAAAAAUAAAUUCUGUGGGCUUUAAGACUGAUUAGUUUAUUGCCUUGUCCUUUUUCACAACCUCCGUUGGAAGGAUUCAAAUAACAAUUUUCAUCAAUAUUGGUUAUAAAAAGCGAGAUUAUGUAAUUCGUAUUUUAUGACAUCAAAGUAGUGAGUCUGCACAAGCUGCAGAAUUUCAUUCGAUUUUUUUGCGGAAAAUAUGUAAAUUAACAGUGCAACAGUGCAGUCAUUAACUUUUAUUUCUAUUCAGAUUGUAAUAAAGAUUUAAUUAACCAGAAGGAAAUGUAUGAAUUAACAAGUUCUUGUUCUUCCUUCUUUUCCUCAUAUAAUCUUAUAAUCAAUCUAACAUUGGCCUUUUCCCCAUCUGUUGACAUGACUAUUUAUAAGGAAUUGAUGAUAUAUAAAAUAAAUUUACAUCUUGAGACUUUUAUUCAGAUCACUAAUAUGACUCGAACUUCAAUUGUACUUUUAUAAGAUGUGUUGUUAUUUCAGACAAUUAGCAUUCACUUUUUUUUUGAAUAGCAAGCAAGGAUAUAAAAGUACACUAUGAUGGCAUAAAGUAUUUUUAAAAUGUUAGAUUGCUUGAUGUUCUCUGACCAAUAUUUAAUUGUUGGAAAACUAUACUUAUCAUUGAUAACAGGCUUAUAAUUUUGAAAGGACAACAAUUAGGGGGGGGGGGGGCUAAUUAAUUUCUAACUGAAUAAGGACUUCCAUUUCUUUUGAUAAAUGUGUGUUAUCAAUAUACACAAGUAAUUGCACCCCACCAAACUAGAAUAUUGAAUUUAUAGAUUUAUAAGAUUAAAUGACAUGGGUUAUGUGUCAAGAUUUAAGAUUUCAAGAUUCUUUAUUUCUCAAACACCAUAAAUUUACAAUGGUACAGAGAAGUUCAUCAAAAGUUAUAUAACAUAACACAAACCCACAUGACAAGAUGAGAUGAAAAUAUCAAAUAAAAUAAAAUAAACAGUAUAGUAGAGAAGAGUGGUUAUUAACCAGGAAGACUCACUUGAAAAGUUAUAACCCUGUGUGUCAGCGAGACAGCAACUUAACAACAGAAACAAAAAUAUACCUAAAUAAUAUUAAUUUUCAUUUAAAACUAAUUCAGCUUUACUUAAAACAUCCACCAUAACCUUGUCAAAACUGACAACAAAAAAGAUUACAAGCAUAUCACAUGAAAAGGGAAACAGCAUUUUAAUUGGCAGGAAGAAAAUUUUAAUUGGCAGGAAGAAAAUUUUAAUUGGCAGGGAGAAAAUUUUAAUUGACAGGGAGAAAAUGUGACUGAACUAUAUGGUAUUCAACUUUCCCUCUUGGCCCAGUUCUAGAAGAAUUUCUUUCUUUUUCUUUUUUUUCUUAAAUUCUUUUAAAAUAUCUUACAGUUCUUCAUUCUUUUCUUCAAGAAUACAAAUGAAUUAAAUUUGAAAGAUAACUUGACAUUAUCAAUUUUAAAUUUGCCAGUGUCCAUUUUUAAUUUCUAAAAAUCUGUGUUUUAAGUGUUGAAUAAAACAUUACUUAAUUUGGGAAUUUUAUAACUAAAUGUCUGCAGACGGCAAAUAAUACCAAAAUAAAUUGAAAUCACUGUAAAAUAUGUCCUUCAAAUAACUCCUCAAGGCAUCUUCCUUUUCUAAAUAUAUUUCACAUCUAACAUUAUGCCUAUUGAUUUUUAUUGAUAUAUGACAACUGGAUAAAGGGCUGAUGUUUUACAGAAAAUAAUUUCCAUAAUGAUACAAUGACAAAUAAAAUAUUUCAUGAUAAAUCUUCCUGCAGGAACAUCUGACAAAUAUCAUAAGCUUUUGAUAAGAUAUUAUAUUAAGUCUCAAUUUACAUAAUAACACAAUUGAGAGACAUUUCGGAAAAAGUUGUUAUAAAUCGGCUGGUAAUUGACGCUGACUGAUCAGUAUCACGCUUACAAUUUCAUUGGGUUAUUUAAGAUGAGAAAGAUCAAGCAACCAUGGGUUUCCAAUAAUUUGACGAGACUUCAUAUGACAAACAUAUAAAUUAACCAAGAUAUUUCUUUUUUUCUUAAAUAUGUCAAUGUAAUUGUCGGUUAACAAGAUAAAUUAAUUGAUUUAUAUAGAAAGCCUUACACAUUUUUACCUAUCAAUAUCGAUUUAUAUUAAUAAAUUAAUUACACUUUUUCUUACAAAAUUCUGUGACAUUUCAAGAAGAAAUUUAAUAUUCUUUACUUUUCAUUUGUCAGUACUUAACUGUAAAAGAGGAGCUUAAAAUCAGACAUUUGAUAAUGAAAACAGAUACAUGUAACUCAAUUAAACUGAUUUUUUUUUUUACUGUAUUCAACUAUUCUGUUCCAGUUAUAAACCCUAAUCAUCAGAUCGAGUCUAGUAUGUUUAAUGCCAAUAUAAGUAAUCAGAUAAUUUGGAAUGGUUGCCUUAGAGAUACCUAUCCAAAGAAUAUCACCGAUAUAUAUAUAUAUAUAACUUCAGGUCACAUACAUGUAUGACUUAAAAAUUUACAAAACCCAUAUAUAUCUUAUUGUUAGUUAUAAAAGGCCAAUGGAUAAAAAAAAAUCUAACAAAAUAACUCUGCUGACAGCUUUAUAUAGAAUAACUGUCUAGCGUAACACAUAUGGCUUACUGACUAAGCUGUAGCAAAGAUCCAUAUGAGGAGGAAAUCUAAUGAAAGCAGCUUGUUUGACAAACUGUAAAAUAUCUGAAUAAACAGCUGUAACUGCAAGCUUGAGAGAUUAAAAUCAAUUUUAGAGAACUUGACAUGUAAAUAUCACUGUUUUACCAAAGAAAAUU